rnacentral:lncRNA from 1 species
UUCCUGGCCUGCUGUUGCUCUGGCAUGUGACCAAUUUUUGUGAACAUGUAUGUGAUCCAAAUAUUGACAGUUCACCAUGCCACACCUUACCCCAGCCUCAUCAUAGCAUACUCUAGAUUCUCCUUCCCUGGUGGAAAGACUGAGGGAUAUGUCAUGAUUUUCAGAGAAGUACAAGGGGACACAAGAGGCGAUUUCAAGAAACACUAAUAGGAUUGUGAGAAAGUUGGCCAAGGAAGAGGAACAGCCAAUAAACGGUGACUUGUCAAGACAGUUAGGACCCUGGGAGCUAAAUCUGCCUGGAGAACUCUGGAAAUCAGUGUGGAACACAUACUUCAGCAUCAUCUCAGCUAAUGGACAAGUAAGGUUUCUGACUGAAGCCCAUGUUUUGACUGGAGCACCUUGAUUAAACAGAAGACCCUCUGAGGAAACACCACAGACAAAAGUGUACAUGGUAAAUAUUCAAGAAGAAAAUAUAAAAUAAGCUUUCAGCAAUUUAAAAUGCAGCAGAAGGAGUUACA